rnacentral:rRNA from 1 species
GCUUACGGCCAUACCACCCUAAACAUGCCCGAUCUCGUCCGAUCUCGGAAGCUAAGCAGGGUCGGGCCUGGUUAGUACUUGGAUGGGAGACCGCCUGGGAAUACCAGGUGCUGUAAGCU